rnacentral:rRNA from 1 species
GUCCACGCCGUAAACGAUGAUAACUAGCUGUCCGGGCACUUGGUGCCUGGGUGGCGCAGCUAACGCAUUAAGUUAUCCGCCUGGGGAGUACGGUCGCAAGAUUAAAACUCAAAGGAAUUGACGGGGGCCUGCACAAGCGGUGGAGCAUGUGGUUUAAUUCGAAGCAACGCGCAGAACAUUACCAGCCUUUGACAUCCCGCGCUAUCCAGAGAGAUCUGGAGUUCCCUUCGGGGACGCGGUGACAGGUGCUGCAUGGCUGUCGU